GGCAGUGUAGCAUAGUGGGUAAAGAACUGGGCUGGUAACCUGAAAGAUCCCAGGUUCGAUUCCUGGGUAGGACACUGUCG
rnacentral:tRNA from 1 species